rnacentral:lncRNA from 1 species
AUGAAUACUUUGGAGCGAAAGUUGGACAAACGUUCGAAGAAAGAUUCCGAAGACAACGCCAUUGUGGGAAAGAGAAUCCGUGUUGCCAAACGUCUGUGGGAGGAUGAGGAUGAGGAUGACCCCCCUACUGCCGUGGCCACAGUCAGUGGAACCAAAGCUGCCAUUCACAAUCAAGGGGCUGAAAUCCUAGAUUCCAUUUCCUUGGAAGAACAAGCAGAAAAUAGUGACAACGAGCUCUCACUUGUGCGUCAAGAAUUGCUAGAAAUAAAAAAAUUCAUCUUUACAGAGAUACCUCAGAUAAAAGAAAUGCUCAACAGAAGCUCCAUGCACCUCGGCAGUCCAGGGUCUCUCCCCAGCCCUUCAAACCCUGUUCAAAUAGAGGGGAAUCCAAGGUUUCAAAGGGGGGAGAUGGGGAGAAAAGAAGCGCCCUGGAUGAAAUAAAAGUGAAAGCUAUAAUGGAUGCUGUUAUGUCAAGACACUCAGUUUCGACUGGCCAGAUCGGAGCAGCCCUGAAUGGGAAGAUGGCAGAACUAAGACUGGCAAUGUCCAGGAAAAAUGUUCAUUAAAAAUGAGUGUUUCCCGAGUGAGUCAAAAAUCUGAAGUUGAAAUUAAAAAGUUUUUACUUGAAAAGUUUGUAUACUGAACAAAAUGCAUUAAAGUUUUUAUUUGAAAAGACCUGGAAUUGUGUGUUCUGAACAAAAUGCAUUAAAGUUUCUAUUUGAAAAGACCUGGAAUUGUGUGUUCUGUGGAAUGAGUAUAAAUAUAUAUGCAGGAUGUAUAAAAAACAUAGUUGUACCACUAAUAUAAGUGAAAGUACAUGGUGUCAUCAUAUAAGAAGCAUAUUUGUAUCCCUAAUAUAAGUGAAAGUACAUGGUGUCAUCAUAUAAGAAGCAUAUUUGUAUCCCUAAUAUAAGUGAAAGUACAUGGUGUCAUCAUAUUAGAAGCAUAUUUGUAUCCCUAAUAUAAGUGAAAGUAUGUACUCUAGAAAUAAAUACAUAUAUGCAUGUAUACAUAUAUGCGUCUUGCAUAUAUUUCACAUAUAUGUGCAUAUAUGCGAAAAUAUAUGGCACUUACAUGAAAACGGCCAUUUUUGAUAUAUUUUGAAAUAUAUGUUUCAUAUAUGUCUAUGUGUUUUACAUAUAUGAGUUUUGCAUAUAUUCUCAUAUAUGCAGCAGACAUACAUGGGCACUGAUAUUAUAUAUGUAAUUUACAUAUAUUGACAUAUAUUACAUUUCUGUAUGGGGGAAGUGGCUGACUUUGGG